rfam:Staphylococcus aureus subsp. aureus TSA300_FPR3757, complete genome.
GCUUAUUAUUUUCAUAAACGAUUUUCUAAAAUCCUUUACGAAAUUUUUAAUAAAAAUCACAUCCCAGUUAUUUUUUUAACACUUAUCUUUUGAUAAGUGCUUUUUUUGUUUUAAAGCCUCCA